UGUCAAAGUUAACGUGAUAAAAACGCAUUAACGCAAAUUUGUUUUAACCCCACUAAUUUCUUUAGCGCAUCAAUGCAAACGAUCUUCUGGAGGUUGUACCAGGCUCAGAUUUAAAGAUAGAGUGAAGACAAC